CGCGCGAUUGGAGCGGCCGAUAUCAGAUUAGGUAGUUGGUGAGGUAAAGGCUCACCAAGCCGACGAUUCUGUAGCUGGUCUGAGAGGACGACCAGCCACACUGGGACUGAGACACGGCCCAGACUCCUACGGGAGGCAGCAGUGGGAAUUUUGGACAAUGGACGCAAGUCUGAUCCAGCCAUUCCGCGUGCAGGAUGAAGGCCCUCGGGUUGUAAACUGCUUUUGUACGGAACGAAAAGGUUUGUCUUAAUACGAUGAGCUCAUGACGGUACCGUAAGAAUAAGCACCGGCUAACUACGUG
rnacentral:rRNA from 1 species